rnacentral:rRNA from 1 species
AACACAUGCAAGUCGAGGGGCAGCAUAACGAAAGCUUGCUUUUGUUGAUGGCGACCGGCGCACGGGUGAGUAACGCGUAUCCAACCUUCCCUAUAGUAGAGAAUAGCCCGGCGAAAGUCGGAUUAAUGCUCUAUGUUGUAUUUAGAGGACAUCUGAAGAAUACCAAAGGUUUACCGCUAUAGGAUGGGGAUGCGUCUGGUUAGGUUGUUGGCGGGGUAACGGCCCACCAAGCCUACGAUCAGUAGGGGUUCUGAGAGGAAGGUCCCCCACAUUGGAACUGAGACACGGUCCAAACUCCUACGGGAGGCAGCAGUGAGGAAUAUUGGUCAAUGGACGGAAGUCUGAACCAGCCAAGUAGCGUGCAGGAUGACGGCCCUAUGGGUUGUAAACUGCUUUUAUAUAGGGAUAAAGUCGGGGACGUGUCCCCGUUUGUAGGUACUAUAUGAAUAAGGACCGGCUAAUUCCGUGCCAGCAGCCGCGGUAAUACGGAAGGUCCGGGCGUUAUCCGGAUUUAUUGGGUUUAAAGGGAGCGCAGGCUGAUGAUUAAGCGUGACGUGAAAUGUAGCCGCUCAACGGCUGAACUGCGUCGCGAACUGGUUAUCU